GAGGCGAACCGGGGGAACUGAAACAUCUAAGUACCCCGAGGAAAAGAAAUCAACCGAGAUUCCGAAAGUAGCGGCGAGCGAAAUUGGACUAGCCCUUAAGCUUUACACACGUUAGACGAACGGUCUGGAAAGUCCGACGAUACAGGGUGAUAGUCCCGUAGUUGACGACGUGUGUUCAGUGAAAUCGAGUAGGGCGGGACACGUGAUAUCCUGUCUGAAUAUGGGGGG
rnacentral:rRNA from 1 species